CCUACGGGAGGCAGCAGUGAGGAAUAUUGGUCAAUGGACGAGAGUCUGAACCAGCCAAGUAGCGUGAAGGAUGACUGCCCUAUGGGUUGUAAACUUCUUUUAUAUGGGAAUAAAAUGUUCCACGUGUGGGCUUUUGUAUGUACCAUAUGAAUAAGGAUCGGCUAACUCCGUGCCAGCAGCCGAGGUAAUACGGAGGAUCCGAGCGUUAUCCGGAUUUAUUGGGUUUAAAGGGAGCGUAGGUGGAUUGUUAAGUCAGUUGUGAAAGUUUGCGGCUCAACCGUAAAAUUGCAGUUGAAACUGGCAGUCUUGAGUACAGUAGAGGUGGGCGGAAUUCGUGGUGUAGCGGUGAAAUGCUUAGAUAUCACGAAGAACGCCGAUUGCGAAGGCAGCUCACUGGACUGCAACUGACACUGAGGCUCGAAAGUGUGGGUAUCAAACAGGAUUAGAUACCCUUGUAGUC
rnacentral:rRNA from 1 species